UAGCGGGGCAGCCAAAUCGCGAAAU
rnacentral:sRNA from 1 species